AUUGAACGCUGGCGGCAUGCCUUACACAUGCAAGUCGAACGGCAGCACGGGAGCAAUCCUGGUGGCGAGUGGCGAACGGGUGAGUAAUAUAUCGGAACGUGCCCAGUCGUGGGGGACAACGCAGCGAAAGCUGUGCUAAUACCGCAUACGAUCUAAGGAUGAAAGCGGGGGAUCGCAAGACCUCGCGCGAUUGGAGCGGCCGAGAUCAGAUGAGCUAGUUGGUGGGGUAAAGGCCCACCAAGGCGACGAUCUGUAGCUGGUCUGAGAGGACGACCAGCCACACUGGAACUGAGACACGGUCCAGACUCCUACGGGAGGCAGCAGUGGGGAAUUUUGGACAAUGGGCGCAAGCCUGAUCCAGCAAUGCCGCGUGCAGGAUGAAGGCCUUCGGGUUGUAAACUGCUUUUGUACGGAACGAAACGGCCCUUUCUAAUACAGGGGGCUAAUGACGGUACCGUAAGAAUAAGCACCGGCUAACUACGUGCCAGCCGCCGCCGUAACAC
rnacentral:rRNA from 1 species